AUUAAUCUAAUAUCAUAUUCUGUUAACAUAACACCCUUCUUAUUGAAAACCCAGGUUGUUAGGUCCCAUCAUUAAAAGAGCAUUGUCUCUUCCACAGUAAGGUAUGUUUUAUUUGUCGAAAUCUAGCAACUGUACAUAGUGGCCGCCAAAUUAAACUAGUGCUAUUUUGAUGACUAUUGUUUGCCUAUGUUAUUGUCGAAUGAUUUUAUAAUGCAGAAAAUAUAUAAAUUUUGGCCGGGGUCAAACGCUCAUAACAUGUGAAAAAAAUAAAAAAAUGCUAUGUAGGAUUUUCAGUCUCCACGCAUGCGCGCGCAUGUGCAGAUCCUUAAGCUCGUACUCAAUUUUUUUCACAUGCUACGGACUGUCGGCUUCGGACUUAAUGUAAAAAAUCAAAUGAAAUCUAUAUUGUAUCAAUAGAAAUAAUGUGAAGUAGGUACAUAAUAUAGUAAUUAUUUCCCAACAAAUCUAUAAUUGAUACUCAAAAUAUUGAACGUGAGUUGAUUUUAAAUUCACCAAAUAGUUCAUUCAAUUCUUCUACCUAUACUCUUAUACAUAGUUAUACAUAGUAUGUUAAAUUGUAUAUAAUCUUAUUCCAAAUAAAUAAGACUUUAUUGAAAACUGCUGGUAAACAGGGACUUUUUAGUCCUAUGCCGUGUUUCGGAAACAAAUUCCACUCUAAAAGACGAGAGCAAGAAAAGAAAAUUGCAAAAUUAUUACUUAUAUUUUUACUCAAUGAAAAUUAAAAGGCAAAAACAAAAUUUAACAAGACUUAAUAAAUAUUAUUUUAAAACAAUUUUUAAUUUUUGCUUCAAAUCCAACAUAAAAAUAUGUUGUUUUUUCCUUUCUUUUUUUAAAGAAAAAAAAAGAAAAGAAAUUUAAAUGGAAUGUGUAACGAUGAGAAUAUAAAUUGAAACAGAGAAAACUACAACAAUACAACUUGUACACAUGUCUAGUAAGGUCGGGAUAGGACUAAGUUCAUUCAAAUUUCACAACAAAAGUCGUAUUCAUCCUCUAGCAUUUAUUUAGUC
rnacentral:lncRNA from 1 species